rnacentral:rRNA from 1 species
GACAGAGGGUGCAAACGUUGUUCGGAAUUACUGGGCGUAAAGCGUGUGUAGGCGGCCACGUAAGUCGGAUGUGAAAGCCCCAGGCUCAACCUGGGAAGUGCACUCGAUACUGCGUGGCUUGAGUAUCGGAGAGGUUGGUGGAAUUCUCGGUGUAGAGGUGAAAUUCGUAGAUAUCGAGAGGAACACCGGUGGCGAAGGCGGCGACCUGGUCCUUUUUACUGACGCUGAGGCGCGAAAGCGUGGGGAGCAAACAGG